UGGGAAAGUCUCUGGUAGAACCAAACUGUUACAAGUCAGAGCUUGUUAUCUUCUUAUCUUCAGCCAUGCCUAGAGUCUAUGCAUCCUCACCCAUCAAGUCAGACAGCAGAGGGCAGAAGAGCCACACUAAAACCACUCUCGUGAACCCGGCCUCCAGAUGUCUUAUGGAAGCAUGCCAGCAUGUGGACAGACAUGGUGCUGGAGAGGUAGCUGAGAGUUCUACAUCUGGAUUAGCAGGCAGCAGCAAGAGACUGUGAGUCAUGAGCCCAGCUUGAGCUUCUGAACCCUCAAAGCCCAUCCCCCCGGGCACACUUCCUCCAACAAGACCACGCCUCCUAAUCUUUUCAAAUAAAGUCACACUCCCUAUGAACAUGUGAGAGCCAUUUUCAUUCAAUUAACACACACCUGUACGUGGUUUUAAGACAUAAUUGUUUUCAAUUUUUAAGAUGCUGUCAAAGUCUUCCUGCAGUUUCUAUUUCUUCUUCUUUUUUUU